UGAGCAUUGCGGGAGGACCAGAUCCACUGUCAUCCUUCUGCAGAAGAGAGUGUGCAUAGCUAAUCCAGUGUGUACACAAGUGGAAGUGCUUAAGGCAAUGGUUGAACCUUAAAAGGAACUCCUAUCUGCAAUUGGUGACUGCCUGAGAAGGAUUUUUCUCCUGCCAAUAAUUGUUGUUCACCUGUGACCCCUUUUUGGUAAACUCAUAGAUGUUCCAUUACUUCUUUUAAAAAAGGUGCUUUGAAUAAGAAUGUGUUCCAUUAAGCAGGCAAGUCUAAGCAAGUGCCUAACAGCAGUGCCCGUGAAGUUCAUCAGAGGAAUGCUGAUUGAUUUUCUUUAAAUAGACCAGAGAAGAGGUAGAGCAUUAGGCUUGUCUAAACAAUAUGCAAGUCAGCAUGGGACUACGCAUUUUAAAAGAGCAAAAAUGGAUUCAUUCCAGCAGCACAGUAUAGCGCUGAGAAUAGCCUAAGUGUGGCAAUUUAGGCUCAAAGUUUUAAAGGCAUAUUUUCCAUUGGUUUAAAGAGGAAAUAUUACCAUAGAUUCAUAGGAUGGCUUGGGUUGGAAGGGACCUCAAGGAUCAUCAGGUUCCAACCUCCCUGCCACUGUUCUUCAUGAGGAGAUGCUCAUACUUUUAAAAUCAUGACAUCAGCACCUGGGUGUAGUUCAUGCUGCAGAGCUUCUUCCUUGCUGGUGCACCUGAG
rnacentral:lncRNA from 1 species